rnacentral:rRNA from 1 species
AUUGAACGCUGGCGGCAGGCCUAACACAUGCAAGUCGAACGAGUGGCGGACGGGUGAGUAAUGUCUGGGAAACUGCCUGAUGGAGGGGGAUAACUACUGGAAACGGUAGCUAAUACCGCAUACCAUCAGAUGUGCCCAUGUGGGAUUAGCUAGUUGGUGGGGUAACGGCUCACCAAGGCCACGAUCCCUAGCUGGUCUGAGAGGAUGACCAGCCACACUGGAACUGAGACACGGUCCAGACUCCUACGUGAGGCAGCAGUGGGGAAUAUUGCACAAUGGGCGCAAGCCUGAUGCAGCCAUGCCGCGUGUAUGAUGAAGGCCUUCGGGUUGUAAAGUACUUUCAGCGGGGAGGCGUUACCCGCAGAAGAAGCACCGGCUAACUCCGUGCCAGCAGCCGCGGUAAUUC